rnacentral:misc_RNA from 1 species
CGCACCUUGCGCCCUCUGGUAUUCCGGAGGGCAUGUCUGUCUGAGUGUCAUGUAACUCUCAACCUCUCUUCCCUUGUGGUCGAGCUGGUUGGAUCGUGGGGGUUUUGCGGGCCUUGUAUCGCUCCCCUGAAAUCUAUCUGCAAAGUCGCCUCUUGUGAGUUGGCCUGACUGGGUGUGAUGGUAACGUUUUCGCCCGGGAUCCCGCCUUGUGCGAGGAGCCGCUCCUGUUGUAGGUUUUGGUUUGCAUAUAACUACAUAUCUUUGGUUUAGACCUCAGAUCAGGCAGGACUACCCGCUGAACUUAA